rnacentral:rRNA from 1 species
AACGAACGCUGGCGGCAUGCCUAACACAUGCAAGUCGAACGAGACCUUCGGGUCUAGUGGCGCACGGGUGCGUAACGCGUGGGAACCUGCCCUUAGGUUCGGAAUAACUCAGAGAAAUUUGAGCUAAUACCGGAUAAUGUCUUCGGACCAAAGAUUUAUCGCCUUUGGAUGGGCCCGCGUAGGAUUAGCUUGUUGGUGGGGUAAUGGCCUACCAAGGCGACGAUCCUUAGCUGGCCUGAGAGGAUGAUCAGCCACACUGGGACUGAGACACGGCCCAGACUCCUACGGGAGGCAGCAGUGGGGAAUAUUGGACAAUGGGCGAAAGCCUGAUCCAGCAAUGCCGCGUGAGUGAUGAAGGCCUUAGGGUUGUAAAGCUCUUUUACCAGGGAUGAUAAUGACAGUACCUGGAGAAUAAGCUCCGGCUAACUCCGUG